rnacentral:lncRNA from 1 species
GAGCACCGCGUAUGGCACUCUGAAGGUGGUAAAAGAAACUGUGUAUGUGUGUGUGUGCUGUCUUCUUUAGGCAAAAAUAUUCUUCAGUCACUUGUUCGUAACCUUAAAGUACGGGCAAGCCACCAAAGAGUUUCUCGUAAAUUUGCCAAAGGUCCCAACCCUUUUUCCGACAUUCUCAGCGCUAUUUAAACUGCCCAGCAUUUAAAGCGCCUUAAAGCGCUUUUAAUCUCAAACGUAACGCACUCAUUAAAGCGCUUAAUUACGAAACGUAGCGCAUUUAAGACGUUGAAACGCUCGGGAGCCCUAAUAGUACCUGAAUGCUCGAAAGGGAAACUGUAUUGAAUAUCUUUAAUUACCUGGCACCUGACUAGAGGGUGUUUCUAUUCCGGCAUUGCUGUCAUACACGUGGAGGGCCUCACGA